rnacentral:rRNA from 1 species
UACGUAGGGUGCAAGCGUUGUCCGGAAUUAUUGGGCGUAAAGAGCUCGUAGGCGGCUUGUCGCGUCGACUGUGAAAUCCCGCGGCUCAACCGCGGGUCUGCAGUCGAUACGGGCAGGCUAGAGUUCGGUAGGGGAGACUGGAAUUCCUGGUGUAGCGGUGAAAUGCGCAGAUAUCAGGAGGAACACCGGUGGCGAAGGCGGGACUCUGGGCAGUAACUGACGCUGAGGAGCGAAAGCGUGGGGAGCGAACAGG